rnacentral:lncRNA from 1 species
UGUGCUCGCCUGACCCACGUGACAUGCCGCUGUGGGCACUUGGCUGAGGGUGGCAGAGGCACUCAGCUAACCCAAAGUGACACAUGCCUGGCGAGACGUUCAGUCUCUACAAA